rnacentral:misc_RNA from 1 species
GGAGAUAUAAAUUUUGCUACUCGGUCACUGCAUUUCAGUAUCCCAUGAUAUAAAAGCUGACGAGCUUCUGACUUGGGAAAAUUACAACCGCAGUAGAUUUGUUAAUAAUAUUGACCAGCAAAAACUGAGAAAAAACAGACACAAUGAUGAAAUCAUUUAUGAUAUCGCUGGCGGUCCUAGCUUUGAUUGCGGUAGUGAUGGCUGCUCCAUUCGAUGAGACGGAUGUAUCUGAUGCAGGAGGGUAUCUCGAUGAAAGUCGGACACGCGAUAAGCCAAUAUUCUUGAAGUUGCUAACGCUGAAAAAACUAUUGUUGUUGUUGGGCUAAAAUAAUUAAUAAUCAAAAUGUAGAAUUUGUAUAAGAAAAAAAACUUAUCCUUAAUUAAUUUUAAUCCAAGUUAUAGCCAAAGUACGAUAGUUUUGAAUCUACCUACAUGUGUAUUUAUGUGCGAAAAAGAG